GGAAUCAAUGUUACAAUUGGUACUCAAACAACGGCACCAUACCAUUCCAUAGUAAUUAGUAAGUGCUAUUUGUUGGGGUAGUUUGAAGUGA
rnacentral:pre_miRNA from 1 species